rnacentral:lncRNA from 1 species
CUAGGUUAGAUCCCGUGUGAACACACGGUUUAACAAAUAAAAAUAAUACUUCGAAUUUGUUCAAAUUUAAUCAUAAUUAAAUGAGGCUACAAACUCAUUAAGAACCUUAAAAUGAGCACCAUAUGGUAUAUGGUUAUAGACUUAUUAGUGGUCAUAUAUAAUGACGGACUGGAAACACCACAUGUAUCAACUAAUCAUAAAGUAGCAAUGUAGUUCAUGUUGGUAAUUGUGUGUAUAGAAUAGAAUAGAAUGAGUAAGUUAGAUACUAUAUUUUUUUAAUUUUAUUUGAAAGGCAAAUUGAUGACAUAUCAUUAAAUACCAAUAGCUCUUAGCAAGUUGCUAAAAGCCACCAAAAUAUAAUAUAAGGAAAACACAAAAAGUAACUGCAGAACCAUCCCUACGAGAACAAAAACUACAUGUGACCUAAAAAUAUAAUCUUCCACACCAGCAUUCAAUUUCUGCCAUGUGAUACUCCUUUGUUGGAUCCGCCUAUGAUCCACGGAACGAAUUCUCUUUUAAGAAAUAUGCGCAUGCGCACCAACUGAAUGACCCAUCAAAUCAAAAUCACAAUAAACCAAUUUUAAACCCAAGAUGAUUUUAUCAUACUGGGGAAGUGUAAAAAUAAGUGUACCUGUUUGGAUCACCGGAGUAUUC